UUACUACUCCCUCCGUCCAAUAAAAGAUGUCUCAACUUUGACUAAAUUUGAAUGCAUCUAUACACUGAGUCAUGUCUAGAUACAUUCAAAUUUUGACAAACUUGAGACAUCUUUUGUUGGACGGAGGAAGUAUCUC
rnacentral:pre_miRNA from 1 species